rnacentral:rRNA from 1 species
GUUUGACCUCAAAUCAGGUAGGACUACCCGCU